CCCCUCCUCAACUGUUCCCCCAGCCACCCACCACACAGAAAUUCAAAUCCAGAAAUUUUUUUAAAAAACAGCAGAGUGGCCCAAUGGUCACAGAAAAUCAUAAAAAUGCAGGGGGGAAAAACAAGCUUCCAGAUUCUUACAAACCCCUCCCCAAGACCAAGUCCUUGAAUUCCAAACACCCCAACCCAAAAUCCAAAACCCCCCAAAAAAGUUUUAAAAGUUUAAAAGAAGUUUUGGAAAAGCUUCAAAAAUCACCAAAGUCUUCAAAAACCUCAAAAAAGGCUACCACACCGCGUUCUAUGAGUUGCUCCUCGAAGUCAAGUCGCAACUGUAUUAACGGUGUUGUCAGGGAACUGCCAUCGGAAGGAAGGGAGGUGAAAGGACUCAGACAGGUUGGAAGAGAUUCAGCAGCUGAAGAGGGAACCAGCAGGGGGAGAGAAGCUGAACUGAGGGAGGUGAAAGGGCUCAGACAGGUUGGGAGAGACUCAGCAGCUGAAGAGGAAACCAGCAGGGGAGAGAAGCUGAACUGAGGGAAAGGGAGCUGGGGGAUGGCUCAGAGAUACUUCCAGCGAAAACAGUGGUGAGGCUUCCGGACCUCCUGUAGCGACACCCACUCCUCGCCGGAAACUGUCACGCAGAGAGUCCAGAAGACGUGUUUCCGUUAAGGAGCUUUUAUGUUGGAAGCGAUUACGAAAGCAACCACUGUCGGAAUCUUCUAGUGACUAGAGGAGCCAUGUCAGAGGGGCUCAGUCACAGACAGAGGUUUGUGGACUUGAACAAACUCUGAGGGAAUACGAUUUUACGCACAAGCAGCUCAUAAUCCCAUCACAGCAUUCCGACAGUCUUUGAACGCAGCUUGUGCAGGAGAAGGCAUAAUGAGCAACCCAGCAGGAACCGGAGAAGCAGGGGCUGGAGCGGGUCCAAGCCUGGAAGAAAGGUACCGGGUGUUGGAGGUCCAGCUGGCGCUGCAGACGGCGAGGCUGGAGGAGAGGAGGGCUCAAGAUGCAGACCAAAGGGAGAAAGCCACCCAGCUCGCCAGAAAGGUACCAGGAUUGGUGCAGAAAUUUGGGGGGGAGCCCAAAGACUAUCAUAGCUUUCGGACAGAAAUGCAAUAUGCCCUCAAUCUGCAGUUUGAUGAUUUCCCUGAUGAGGAAUCACGAGUGGCUUUUGUGAUUGGGCAUCUUGAAAAGGGGGCGAGAGACUGGGUUAGACCCCUGAUGGCAGCGCAUAGUGACGUCCUAAAGGACACGAUGAAGUUCUUUCGCGCCAUGGAUCUGAUGUUUUCCAGCGAUAUUGAAAAGGGAGUGGUGCGCAGACAGUUAAUGGCUUGCAAACAGGGGAGCCGAUCUGUACGUGAGUACUGGACUGAGUUCACCAUGCUGAUACACAGAUUGGGGUGGGACUUAUCGGCGGAACCCAUUCAAAUGCUCUUUGAAGAAGGGCUUUCUUCGGCUGUGAAAGAUGAACUUUCCCGGGCGCCCAGGGCGGAGUCUAUGGACCAGCUGACCAAAUCAGCGCUGGCCAUAGGAGCGCGCCAGGAGGCGAGAGCAUUGGAGAGGCGGGAAGGGAAAGGGGAACGUUGGAAGGAGUUCCGCAUUCCAGACAUUCCAGAGCCAACUGUCCCGCCGGCAGAGCCGAUGGAAAUCGGAACAGACGCGCGCGCGCAGUUUCAAAGCCCAGUGAGGGGGGAAGAAGGAUGGAAAAGGCGCCCGGAAAUGCUAUCUCUGCCAACAGCCAGGGCACUUUGCCAGAGUCUGCCCCCAGAGGAAGGAAUGGCAAGGGAUGGUGGGAGCUGUGGAGGGAAGAGAGGAAAAAUACCGGAGCAACUAAAAGCCAACGCCUGGCUGCCAUUGUCGGGGCACAGCAGCCAGGCCAAAGAGCAGUGAAAGUGCCCACCCCAGAACCUCCUAAACCCGCCCUAGUGAUAGAAGUGACACUAGAGCUGCCAAACGGACACCCUCUACCGAUAUCGGCGCUGUUGGACUCAGGCAGCUCCUGCAAGUUCAUGAGCAAAGAGUUUGCAGCUGAACACCAGAUACAGACGCUCUCUUUAAGCAACCCCCUGCAGGUAACCACGAUCGAUGGCAGGGAGCUGUUGGGAGGAGAAGUCAGCUUGCAGACCGUCCCAAUGAUAAUGAAGGUGGCAAGGCACACCGAACUGAUAGCUUUUAAUGUGGCCACCUUGGGAGGAGCUCCCAUUAUAUUGGGGAUGAGCUGGCUAGCGUUACAUGAUCCGCUGGUGGGCUGGCAUCAGAGAGUGGUUUCUUUUGGGUCAGCACAUUGUUUAGAACAUUGCAAAGAGGGAAAGGUUUUGGCAGGGGCCCAAGCCACCCUAGCAGGGACUGAAGUGACGGAGAACGUGAAGGUACCACGACAAUACGCAGAUCUCCGCGACGUCUUCAGCGAAAGGGAAGCUGACCAACUACCACCGCAUAGAGCCUUUGACUGUCAAAUCAAUUUGCUCCCUGGGGCACAGCUCCCUGUGGGCAAGCUGUACGCCAUGUCAGACAGAGAGAUGCAGGAGCUAAGAGAGUUCAUUGACAAGAACCUGAAGAGAGGGUUCAUCAGAGAGUCCAGGGCGGUGGGGCAGCCCAGUGUUUUUGUGGACAAAAACACGAACAAGCCGAGACUGGUGUGUGACUUCAGGGCCUUAAAUGCAGUGUCAGAACCAGUGGCCUUCCCGAUGCCCAGGAUUGACGACAUUUUGACAAGGGUGCGGAAGGGAAAGAUUUUCACCAAGCUGGAUCUAAGGGGGGCGUACAACCUGAUACGAAUAAGGAAGGGGGAUGAAUGGAAAACCACCAUGUUCACCCCUUUAGGGGCAUUUGAAUACUUAGUUAUGCCCUUCGGUCUACAAGCAGGCUCCGCAACAUUUCAAUCGUUUAUGAACCACGUCCUGGGGCCGUUGCUUUACAAGAAUUGUGUGGCCUUCUUAGACGACGUGUUGGUGUAUUCUGAGAAUGAGGAGCAGCAUGUGAGAGACGUCAGAGAAGUGUUGAGCAGGCUGCAAGCCAACCAGCUGUGGGUGAAACUGGAGAAGUGUCAGUUUCAUACCAAGGAGGUGGAAUUCCUGGGGUAUCGCCUGUCUGACAAGGGGUUGGCCAUGGAUCCCGGCAAGGUCCAGGCGGUACUGGAAUGGAAAACACCCAAAACAAGGAAGGAUGUGCAGAGGUUUUUAGGGUUUGGGAACUUCUAUCGUAAGUUCAUCCCAAACUUUGCCCACCUGACGGCGCCCAUUACGGACUGUCUCAGCAGUAAGAAGAAGUUCGUUUGGACGGAGGAGGCGGAGCAAGCAUUUGAGGAACUAAAAGGGCCUUCGCCUCGGAACAACAGCUCCUGCAUGUGGAUUUACAAAAACCGAUGAGAGUGGAAACUGACGCAUCAGACAGAGCGGUUGGGGCGGUGCUUCUCCAGCCAGGGAAGGAGGAGUCAGAGUGGAGACCGUGUGCUUUUUUUCGCGAAAGCUGAACAAAUCCGAGAGGAACUACACGGUGUAUGACCGAGAACUACUAGCCAUUCAUGAGGCGUUCCGGAGAUGGAGGCACCUGCUAAUUGGCGCACAACAUAAGGUGCAAGUGUGCACUGACCACAAGAACCUAGAGUAUUGGAGGACGGCACGAGUGCUCAACCAACGGCAAGUGAGAUGGGCCCAGGAAUUCUCCAAAUUUAACUUUGAGAUUUGUUACGUGCCAGGCCCAGAGAACAUUAGGGCGGACGCUCUCUCACGCAAACCUGAAUAUUUGGAGGGGGAGGGAGCACCCGAAGAGAGACAUGUCAUUCCAGAGGACCGCUGGGUGUGUGGGGCGGCAUUGGUGGGACAAAGAGAACUGGUAGAAGAAACAGAGAAUGAUGAAUACGCCCAGAAUAAGCUCAGAGGUCUUAGGGAUGAGGGAGAGGAAUCAAGGGGUUUCGAGGAAAGAAAUGGAGCUUUGUAUUACAAAGGGGCACUGUAUAUCCCUGAAGGAGACUUAAGGGGAAGGGUACUCAAGCAGUUGCAUGACAGCCCCACGGCGGGGCAUUUUGGGCAACACAAAACCAUGUGGUUGGUCACCAGGGAAUUUUGGUGGCCUAAGGUGAGGGAGGAUGUACGUGAGUAUGUAAGAGGGUGCGAGCAGUGCCAGCGAGCCAAAGGGGAAAGGCGGGCGCCGGCGGGGCUAUUAGAACCCUUACCAACACCAGAACGACCUUGGGAGGCAGUGUCGAUAGAUUUUAUGACUGAUCUGCCGAAGUCCAAAGGGAAAACAGCCAUCAUGGUGGUGGUAGACCUACUAACAAAGAUGUGCCACUUUGUAGCUUGCUCGCAUGCAGUCACGGCGGAAGAGACAGCGAAGUUAUUUGUAGAACACAUUUUUAGGUUGCACGGGGUGCCAUUGAGGGUGGUCUCAGACCGAGGAAAACAAUUUACUUCCAGGUUCUGGAGGAAGCUCAUGAGCUUACUGCAGGUGGAGGUCAACUUUUCGACUGCCCGGCACCCUGAAACCAACGGGCAGGCGGAAAGAGCAAACGGUGUCCUCCAGCAAUACCUGAGGUGUUAUGUCAAUGACAGAGAGAAUGACUGGGUAGAAAAGUUGGCGCUGGCGGAAUUUGCCUACAACAAUGCCGAGAAUGUGUCCACAGGGAGGAGCCCUUCUUGGCUAAUUAUGGGUGUCAUCCCAGGGCUUUCCCAGGGGAGAAGGGGAGAGAUGGAGCGUACCGGCAGCCGAGCAUUUUGUAGAAGAAAUGGAAGCAAUCCACCGUCAGCUCCAACUCAACUUAGAAAGGGCGAAGGAAGAAUACAAGAGGCAGGCAGACAAGAACCGAAGGGAAGGUGAAACCAUAAGGGUUGGAGAUAGGGUGUGGCUGUCAACCCGAGGGCUGCCGCUCAAAGGAGGUUGUAAGAAAUUAAGACCCAGGAGGUUGGGUCCCUUUGAGGUCAUUCAACAGGUCAACCCAGUGGCUUUCAGGCUCCGGUUACCCAACCACAUGAAACUGCACCCAGUAUUUCACAGGUCGUUACUGUCACUGUACGAGGGGGGACGAGAAGGGAUGGCCACUCGGGGACCGGUCAUAGAAGAAAGAGAAUGCAGCAGUCAUGUGGCAGAAAUCCUUGAUGCCAGGUGGAAGGGGAAUCAGGUGGAGUAUUUGGUAGCGUGGGAAGGAGAACCGGAGUCAGAAAACACGUGGGUAAUGGCCAAAGAUAUCAAUGACGAGGUAUUGAUAGAAAUGUUCCAUCAAAGGUUCCCGCGGAAACCUCAGCCUGUGGAGAGGUUCCGGAGGGAAUACUUUGGGACCACUGAGGAGGAGGAGGAGUUGGAAGGAUUCCCAGAAUCGGAAGGGGAAGGGGAGAUGGACUUGGAGGAGGAGGAGUGCUUCGAGACCAGGAACCGCAACAGGUGGAGAGAAGUGUUCGAGACAUCGGAAGAUGAAGGAAGUUCAUUCCGGGUUUUGCCUCCUCACCGCCCGUAGAGGAGGGGGCGAGAGGGGGUGAAGGGGGCCCUGGAGGGGGAGGUGGAUGUCAGGGAACUGCCAUCGGAAGGAAGGGAGGUGAAAGGACUCAGACAGGUUGGAAGAGAUUCAGCAGCUGAAGAGGGAACCAGCAAGGGGAGAGAAGCUGAACUGAGGGAGGUGAAAGGGCUCAGACAGGUUGGAAGAGACUCAGCAGCUGAAGAGGAAACCAGCAGGGGGGGAGAGAAGCUGAACUGAGGGAAAGGGAGCUGGGGGGGAUGGCUCAGAGAUACUUCCAGCGAAAACAGUGGUGAGGUUUCCGGACCUCCUGUAGCGACACCCACUCCUCGCCGGAAACUGUCACGCAGAGAGUCCAGAAGACGUGUUUCCGUUAAGGAGCUUUUAUGUUGGAAGCGAUUACGAAAGCAACCACUGUCGGAAUCUUCUAGUGACUAGAGGAGCCAUGUCAGAGGGGCUCAGUCACAGACAGAGGUUUGUGGACUUGAACAAACUCUGAGGGAAUACGAUUUUACGCACAAGCAGCUCAUAAUCCCAUCACAGGUGUUAAGAAAAAGGAAACAAACUUGCAAGACGUUUUCGUUUUUCGUCUUGCGAAGCAAGCC